AUUGAACGCUGGCGGCAUGCCUUACACAUGCAAGUCGAACGGCAGCACGGGUGCUUGCACCUGGUGGCGAGUGGCGAACGGGUGAGUAAUACAUCGGAACGUACCUUAUCGUGGGGGAUAACGCAGCGAAAGCUGUGCUAAUACCGCAUACGCCCUGAGGGGGAAAGCGGGGGAUCGAAAGACCUCGCGCGAUUAGAGCGGCCGAUGCCUGAUUGCUUGUUGGUGGGGUAAAAGCCCACCAAGGCGACGAUCAGUAGCUGGUCUGAGAGGACGGUCAGCCACACUGGGAGUGAGAAACGGCCCAGACACCUACGGGAGGCAGCAGUGGGGAAUUUUGGACAAUGGGGGCAACCCUGAUCCAGCAAUGCCGCGUGAGUGAAGAAGGCCUUCGGGUUGUAAAGCUCUUUUGUCAGGGAAGAAACACCGGCUCUAACACAGUCCGGGAAUGACGGUACCUGAAGAAUAAGCACCGGCUAACUACGUGCCAGCCGCCGCAGUAA
rnacentral:rRNA from 1 species